rfam:Ovis aries breed Texel chromosome 7, whole genome shotgun sequence.
GUGUGCAAAUGAUAACUGCUAACGAAAGAGUCCUUGACUCAGUUAGUGGUUGGAUGUAGUCACAC